rnacentral:rRNA from 1 species
AAAAGUAAAGUGAAGUUAAGAAUGUACUUUACGCUUAUAUAAGCUUGCCAACACCAUAUAUUAUAAAAAGAGUUUAGUAUUUGGUGGAUUAACAUACUUAGUGGCGGACGGGUGAGUAACGCGUGAACAAUCUGCCCUGUACAAAGGAAUAGCCUCGGGAAACCGGGAUUAAAACCAUAUGACACUUUUAAGCCACAUGACUUGGAAGUCAAAUUGAAUAAGAGGUAUAGGAUGAGUUCGCGUCUGAUUAGCUAGUUGGUGAGGUAAAGGCCCACCAAGGCGACGAUCAGUAGCCGGCCUGAGAGGGUGAACGGCCACACUGGAACUGAGACACGGUCCAGACUCCUACGGGAGGCAGCAGUGGGGAAUAUUGCACAAUGGAGGAAACUCUGAUGCAGCGACGCCGCGUGAGUGAAGAAGGUCUUCGGAUCGUAAAACUCUGUCCUUGGGGACGAAAAAA